UACGUAGGGGGCGAGCGUUGUCCGGAUUUAUUGGGCGUAAAGAGCGUGUAGGCGGCCAGGUAGGUCUGCUGUGAAAACUCGAGGCUCAACCUCGAGACGUCGGCGGAAACCAUCUGGCUAGAGUCCGGAAGAGGAGAGUGGAAUUCCUGGUGUAGCGGUGAAAUGCGCAGAUAUCAGGAAGAACACCCGUGGCGAAGGCGGCUCUCUGGGACGGUACUGACGCUGAGACGCGAAGGCGUGGGGAGCAAACAGG
rnacentral:rRNA from 1 species